CCCCUGGUGGUCUAGUGGUUAGGAUUUGGCACUAUCACUGCUGCAGCCCGGGUUCGAUUCGCGGUCAGGGAA
rnacentral:tRNA from 1 species